rnacentral:rRNA from 1 species
AGUGAACGCUGGCGGUAGGCCUAACACAUGCAAGUCGAACGGCAGCACAGUAAGAGCUUGCUCUUACGGGUGGCGAGUGGCGGACGGGUGAGGAAUACAUCGGAAUCUACUUUUUCGUGGGGGAUAACGUAGGGAAACUUACGCUAAUACCGCAUACGACCUACGGGUGAAAGCAGGGGAUCUUCGGACCUUGCGCGAUUGAAUGAGCCGAUGUCGGAUUAGCUAGUUGGCGGGGUAAAGGCCCACCAAGGCGACGAUCCGUAGCUGGUCUGAGAGGAUGAUCGGCCACACUGGAACUGAGACACGGUCCAGACUCCUACGGGAGGGAGCAGUGGGGAAUGUUGGACAAUGGGCGCAAGCCUGAUCCAGCCAUACCGCGUGGGUGAAGAAGGCCUUCGGUUUGUAAAGCCCUUUUGUGGGGAAAGAAAAGCAGCAGGUUAAUACCCCGCUGUUCUGACGGUACCCAAAGAAUAAGCACCGGCUAACUUCGUG